AAAUGGGGGGCGCAGCCUGAUGCAGCCAUGCCGCGUGUGUGAAGAAGGCCUUCGGGUUGUAAAGUACUUUCAGCGAGGAGGAAGGCAUUGUGGUUAAUAACCGCAGUGAUUGACGUUACUCGCAGAAGAAGCACCGGCUAACUCCGUGCCAGCAGCCGCGGUAAUGA
rnacentral:rRNA from 1 species